AGAGUUUGAUCAAUGGCUCAGGACGAACGCUGGCGGCGUGCCUAAUACAUGCAAGUCGAGCGGACAGAUGGGAGCUUGCUCCCUGAUGUUAGCGGCGGACGGGUGAGUAACACGUGGGUAACCUGCCUGUAAGACUGGGAUAACUCCGGGAAACCGGGGCUAAUACCGGAUGGUUGUUUGAACCGCAUGGUUCAAACAUAAAAGGUGGCUUCGGCUACCACUUACAGAUGGACCCGCGGCGCAUUAGCUAGUUGGUGAGGUAACGGCUCACCAAGGCAACGAUGCGUAGCCGACCUGAGAGGGUGAUCGGCCACACUGGGACUGAGACACGGCCCAGACUCCUACGGGAGGCAGCAGUAGGGAAUCUUCCGCAAUGGACGAAAGUCUGACGGAGCAACGCCGCGUGAGUGAUGAAGGUUUUCGGAUCGUAAAGCUCUGUUGUUAGGGAAGAACAAGUACCGUUCGAAUAGGGCGGUACCUUGACGGUACCUAACCAGAAAGCCACGGCUAACUACGUGCCAGCAGCCGCGGUAAUACGUAGGUGGCAAGCGUUGUCCGGAAUUAUUGGGCGUAAAGGGCUCGCAGGCGGUUUCUUAAGUCUGAUGUGAAAGCCCCCGGCUCAACCGGGGAGGGUCAUUGGAAACUGGGGAACUUGAGUGCAGAAGAGGAGAGUGGAAUUCCACGUGUAGCGGUGAAAUGCGUAGAGAUGUGGAGGAACACCAGUGGCGAAGGCGACUCUCUGGUCUGUAACUGACGCUGAGGAGCGAAAGCGUGGGGAGCGAACAGGAUUAGAUACCCUGGUAGUCCACGCCGUAAACGAUGAGUGCUAAGUGUUAGGGGGUUUCCGCCCCUUAGUGCUGCAGCUAACGCAUUAAGCACUCCGCCUGGGGAGUACGGUCGCAAGACUGAAACUCAAAGGAAUUGACGGGGGCCCGCACAAG
rnacentral:rRNA from 1 species